GUGGGGAAUAUUGCACAAUGGGCGCAAGCCUGAUGCAGCAACGCCGCGUGAGGGACGACGGCCUUCGGGUUGUAAACCUCUUUUAGCAGGGAAGAAGCGAAAGUGACGGUACCUGCAGAAAAAGCACCGGCUAACUACGUGCCAGCAGCCGCGGUAAUACGUAGGGUGCAAGCGUUGUCCGGAAUUAUUGGGCGUAAAGAGCUCGUAGGCGGUUUGUCGCGUCUGCUGUGAAAACCCGAGGCUCAACCUCGGGCCUGCAGUGGGUAUGGGCAGACUAGAGUGCGGUAGGGGAGAUUGGAAUUCCUGGUGUAGCGGUGGAAUGCGCAGAUAUCAGGAGGAACACCGAUGGCGAAGGCAGAUCUCUGGGCCGUAACUGACGCUGAGGAGCGAAAGCAUGGGGAGCGAACAGGAUUAGAAACCCCGGUAGUCC
rnacentral:rRNA from 1 species